GAGCAGUUGAGCGAGAGAAAGGAGGCGUGAAGUGAUGGUUGAUAUCGUACCGUGAUAGUUUUCUCUUGGCGUGUUUCAUACAGAUUCCUUUUUCGUUGCUUAUUUUAGUGUUACAAUCUAAAUGUUUUUGUAUUUAUUAGUCUUGUUCAUAUGACUCUAUCGAAUACGACCGAAAUAAAAGUAGUUAAAAAGCACAUAUCAACUACCUGGGAUAUUUCCUGACUCUGGAUAGUACAAUAGAUAUGAAGCAUUAUCCAUCCUUUAGGAUCCACAUUUCCAAAACGACUUUCAGUCAAACAUCAGUGAAGUAUUUCCAAAUCGAUCCCAGAGGAGGACAACUGAAGAUAGAUGGAUGAUCAAAUAUCGAAAUAUUAGUCAGGAGUGGUCCGAGCUUAAAGACUGUCAUUAGCCAUCCAUGCUAAUGAUAGCAUAACAACGCAUUUUCAAAGUUUUUCCUGGAGGGGCCUCAAAACAUAACAGCGCCUGUGCCCUCAUAUUGUCGAAAUUCGUCACUGAAGAUAGCAAGUAAUGAAUCGAGGGUUUGA